CUCUCCUUCAGUCCCUCUCUCCCUACCCGUGAGCCACCACCCCUCACCCUUCUUCACGCCGACCCUCCCUCCUUUUCCGCAGGCGUCAUCCCUCUCUAUCCACCUCCCCUUCAUGACCCCUCUCUCUCAUCGGCGUCAAGCAGCAGGGGCAAUGCAGCGGCGCACGGCGCCGGCAGUCCCACACCUCCUCAGCUCGCAUCCAUGUGCGCUCCCAAAUCCCAACAACAUGGGGUUCGGCACGCAUGGGGGCCGUAGCUCCCGACGGCGCACGUGGCCCCUCGCCCCAACCCAGCUCCGGCCUAAUCUCUCCUCUCCACCAACGACCUCUCAGAUCCCGACAGAGACGAGAGAGGUAGUGCAGACAGCAGCUCCAGCAAAGUGUGGGGAACCAGCAGCGGCUGCGGCGGGCUCAUAGGGCAGCAGCCUGACUCCUGUUGACGAAGAACACACCAAAGAUGAGCACGGGUAUUCGUUCUCUCUUUUUUCUUUGUUGGUACUCUGUGUGCUAAUUCUAUUUGUUGCCGCACUGAACUGCUAGUGGAUUUGGUUUUGGUCAUGAUUUGACAUAUCUUUUAGUGAAUUUGUUAUGGCAGGCUAGAUCUGGAGUGUUGCCUAUCUGCAUGGCUACAGUUCUGUGCACAGUUAAGCUGGUUAGGCUGAUCUGAUCUGAUAAAUUAUCGUAAUAUUUGUAUCAGGCGUCCUUUAUCUGGGCCUAAAACAUGAAGUCCAGUUAAGCUGGUUAGGCUGAUCUGAUCUGAUUUAUCAACAUGCAGAGGAUUGACAGGAUGCCCUCCUGUGGUGAAAUUGUUAUGAGUGUUCUCAGUUAUAAUUUAUUUGUUCUCUUUUUUAUAUUGCGAGGUGGAUUAUGAUACCUGCCAUUCCUUGGUGGAUUAAAGCGUUCAGGUGCUUCAUCUUGCUGGAUGUCUGGUGAGCACUAGUUGACAUCCAUCAGGCAUGCCUUCCUUGGUUUACAGAUAGCAGUAGCAACACUUCGACAAGGGAGACAAGUGCAUAGACCAAGAACCUGAUGCAAUGGAUUUUUUUUGAAGGAGUGCCGCUAUACUGCAAAAAAAAUUAAGCCUUGUCAUAGAUGUGAAGAUUGAAAAGGACUUACUUUUUUAGUUUUCCUAGGUUUUAUGGUGAUCAGACAUGUUGUGUUAAUGUACUGGAAUUUUUUUUAUAAAGAAUGUACUAGAAAUUGAGUUAACCAAAUUAUUGGGCUUUAUGUGAUUUUCAUUAUAUAA